rnacentral:tRNA from 1 species
GCUGUUGGUGGUACGGUGGUGAGCAUCGCUGCCUUUCAGGCAGUUGACCCAGGUUCGAUCCCUGGCCAGGGCA